AGAGUUUGAUCAUGGCUCAGGAUAAACGCUGGCGGCGUGCCUAACACAUGCAAGUCGAACGCUCUACUUUCGGGUAGAGAGUGGCGGACGGGUGAGGAACACGUGGGUAUCUGCCUUUCGGUGAGGAAUACCGGCGAGAAAUCGCCGACAAUACCGCAUAUCCUUCUUUCGGGAAGGAAAGUCGUAAGACGCCGGGAGAUGAGCCUGCGCCCGAUUAGCUGGUUGGUGGGGUAAUGGCCUACCAAAGCGACGAUCAGUAGCUGGUCUGAGAGGACGAUCAGCCACACUGGGAUUGAGAACGGCCCAGACUCCUACGGGGGGCAGCAGUGAGGAAUUUUCGUCAAUGGCCGAAAGGCUGAACGAGCAACGCCGCGUGCAGGAAGAAGGUCUUCGGAUCGUAAACUGCUUUUCUCUGGGACGAGAACGGACGGUACCAGAGGAAGAAGCCCCGGCUAACUACGUGCCAGCCGCCGCGGUAAUAC
rnacentral:rRNA from 1 species